GAUGAAGAAACGUAGCGAAAUGCGAUACGUAAUGUGAAUUGCAGAAUUCAGUGAAUCAUCGAAUCUUUGAACGCAUAUUGUGCUCUCUGGUAUUCCGGAGAGCAUGCUUGUUUGAGUAUCAGUAAACACCUCAACUUCCAUAUCUUUUUUGAAAUGGGAGUUGGACUUGAGUGAUCCCAACGCUUUUCCUCACCGAAAAGUGGCGGGUUACUUGAAAUGCAGGUGCAGCUGGACUUUUCUCUGAGCUAUAAGCAUAUCUAUUUAGUCUGCCUAAAAAACAGAUUAUUACCUUUGCUGCAGCUAACAUAAAGGAGAUUAGUUCUUGUGCUGACUGAUGCAGGAUUCACAAAGACAGGCUUCGGCCGACUUUGUAAACUCGAUCUCAAAUCAAGUAAGACUACCCGCUGAACUUAAGCAUAUCAAUAAGCGGAGGA
rnacentral:misc_RNA from 1 species